GACGAACGCUGGCGGCGUGCCUAAUACAUGCAAGUCGAACGCUGAAGAGAGGAGCUUGCUCUUCUUGGAUGAGUUGCGAACGGGUGAGUAACGCGUAGGUAACCUGCCUUGUAGCGGGGGAUAACUAUUGGAAACGAUAGCUAAUACCGCAUAACAAUGGAUGACCCAUGUCAUUUAUUUGAAAGGGGCAAAUGCUCCACUACAAGAUGGACCUGCGUUGUAUUAGCUAGUAGGUGAGGUAACGGCUCACCUAGGCGACGAUACAUAGCCGACCUGCGAGGGGGAUCGGCCACACUGGGACUGAGACACGGCCCAGACUCCUACGGGAGGAAGCAGUAGGGAAUCUUCGGCAAUGGGGGCAACCCUGACCGAGAAACGCCGCGUGAGGGAAGAAGGGUGUCGGAUCGUAAAGCUCGGUUGUAAGUCAAGAACGAGUGUGAGAGUGGAAAGUUCACACUGUGACGGUAGCUGACCAGAAAGGGACGGCUAACUACGUG
rnacentral:rRNA from 1 species